GACGAACGCUGGCGGCGUGCCUAACACAUGCAAGUCAACUUGACGGAAGGAGCAAUCUGACCGUAGAGUGGCGCAAGGGUGCGUAACGCGUAAGUAACUUGCCCCAAGGUAAGGAAUAACGUCGAGAAAUCGGCGCUAAUACCUCAUAAUGCAGCGGAUCCGCAUGGAUAUGUUGUUAAAAGGUUUACCGCCUUGGGAUAGGCUUGCGUCUGAUUAGCUAGUUGGUGUGGUAACGGCACACCAAGGCUACGAUCAGUAACUGGUCUGAGAGGAUGAUCAGUCACACUGGAACUGAGACACGGUCCAGACUCCUACGGGAGGCAGCAGUGAGGAAUAUUGGGCAAUGCUACGAAAGAGUGACCCAGCAACGCCGCGUGGAGGAUGAAGGUAUUCUAUAUCGUAAACUCCUGUGAGAGCAGACGAAAG
rnacentral:rRNA from 1 species